CCCUUAGAGUUUGAUCCUGGCUCAGGAUGAACGCUGGCGGCGUGCUUAACACAUGCAAGUCGAACGAAGCGCUUGAGAUUGAUUCUUCGGAAGAUUUCUCUUGCGACUUAGUGGCGGACGGGUGAGUAACGCGUGGGUAACUUGCCUCACACAGGGGGAUAACAGUUGGAAACGACCGCUAAUACCGCAUAACCCGCUAGGGCCGCAUGGCCCGGACGGAAAAGAUUUAUCGGUGUGAGAUGGACCCGCGUUGGAUUAGCUAGUUGGCAGGGUAACGGCCUACCAAGGCGACGAUCCAUAGCCGGCCUGAGAGGGUGAACGGCCACAUUGGGACUGAGACACGGCCCAAACUCCUACGGGAGGCAGCAGUGGGGAAUAUUGCACAAUGGGGGAAACCCUGAUGCAGCGACGCCGCGUGAGUGAAGAAGUAUUUCGGUAUG
rnacentral:rRNA from 1 species